AGCAGCCGCGGUAAUUCCAGCUCCAAUAGCGUAUAUUAAAGUUGUUGCAGUUAAAAAGCUCGUAGUUGAAUCUCGGGAUCAAAUUGUUGGUCGUGCUUCGGUACGCACUGGCAUUAUUGGUUUCUACCUUCUGAAGAACCGCGAUGUCAUUAAUUUGGUGUCGUGGGGAAUCAGGACUGUUACUUUGAAAAAAUUAGAGUGUUUAAAGCAGGCGCACGCUUGAAUACAUUAGCAUGGAAUAAUGAAAUAGGACGUUUGAUUCUAUUUUGUUGGUUUCUAGGAUCGACGUAAUGAUUAAUAGGGAUAGUUGGGGGCAUUAGUAUUCAAUUGUCAGAGGUGAAAUUCUUGGAUUUAUUGAAGACUAACUACUGCGAAAGCAUUUGCCAAGGAUGCUUUCAUUAAUCAAGAACGAAAGUUAGGGGAUCGAAGACGAUCAGAUACCGUCGUAGUCUUAACCAUAAACUAUGCCGACUAGGGAUCGGAUGAUGUUAAUUUUAUAAUGACUC
rnacentral:rRNA from 1 species